AUUACCCAAUCCUAACUCAGGGAGGUAGUGACAAGAAAUAACAACGCGGGGCUCUGUCUCGCGAUUGGAAUGAGAACAAUGUAAAGCCUUAACGAGGAUCCACUGGAGGGCAAGUCUGGUGCCAGCAGCCGCGGUAAUACCAGCUCCAGUAGCGUAUAUUAAAGUUGUUGCAGUUAAAAAGCUCGUAGUUGAAAUUCUGUACGGAACGACGUCUUCGGAUGAUCGAGCCGUGCAUCCGCCUGAGCAGCAGGUCGGUACUUUGUUGCCGGUUUGUGAUCAGGCACUUUACCUUGAGCAAAUUAGAGUGUUCCAGGCAGGCGUCAGCCUGAAUAGUCCAGCAUGGAAUAGUAGAAGAGGACUGAAAACCACUGUUGGUGUUGUGGUAAUCAGUAAUGAUUAAUAGGGAUAGUUGGGGGCAUUCGUAUUUAAUUGUCGGAGGUGAAAUUCUAUGAUUUAUUAAAGACGAACCUAUGCGAAAGCAUUUGCCAAGGAUGUUUUCAUUAAUCAAGAACGAAAGUUAAGGGAUCAAAGACGAUCAGAUACCGUCGUAGUCUUAACCAUAAACUAUGCCGACUAGAGAUUGGAGGUGCAACUCCAAGACUCCUUCAGCAUCUUACGAGAAAUCAAAGUCUUUGGGUUCUGGGGGAGUAUGGUCACAAGACUGAAACUUAAAGGAAUUGACGGAAGGGCACCACCAGGUGUGGAGCCUGCGGCUUAAUUUGACCCAACACGGGGAAACUUACCAGGUCCAGACAUAGCGAGGAUUGACAGACUGACAGCUCUUUCUUGAUUCUAUGGGUGGUGGUGCAUGGCCGUUCUUAGUUGGUGGAGUGAUUUGUCUGGUUAAUUCCGAUAACGAACGAGACCUCAGCCUGCUAAAUAGUCAGAGUCCGAUUGGGCUUGUGACUUCUUAGAGGGACUGUGGGGGCUACUCCACGGAAGUUUGAGGCAAUAACAGGUCUGUGAUGCCCUUAGAUGUCCUGGGCCGCACGCGCGCUACACUGACGCAGGCAGCAAGCACCGUGGCAGAAAUGUCUCGGAAAACUACAAACUGCAUCGUGCUGGGGAUUGACUCUUGGAAUUCUUGGUCAUAAACGAGGAAUACCUAGUAAACGCAAGUCAUCAGCUUGCAUUGAUUACGUCCCUGCCCUUUGUACACACCGCCCGUCGCUCCUACCGAUUUGAGUGGUGCGGUGAACCCUUCGGACCGGUACGCCGGAAAGUUGAGUAAACCUUACCACUUAGAGGAAGGAGAAGUCGUAACAAGGUA
rnacentral:rRNA from 1 species